rnacentral:lncRNA from 1 species
GGGAGAUGACACAAAACCAAACCAUAUCAGUCUUUAAAGAGUUAAGUUAAAAUAAGCUCUUUAAAGUGGGCCCUAAUCCAGUAUGACUGGUGUUCUUAUAAGAAGAGGAGAUUUGGUCACAGACAUGGUUGCAUGCAGAAUAAAGACUUUUCGAGGACACACUGAGAAGGCAGCCAUCUGCAAAACAAGGAAAGAGUCCUCAGCAGAAACCAGUCCUGCAGACUCCUUGAUCUUGGACUUCCAGCCACUGCAAUUGAUGUCAAGCUUCAGCACCCUUGCAUCUCUGGAUAAAUGAAAUGUCACCCCAGCUGCCGUCCUUGUUCAGAUCUGUGCAAUAAAGAGCAAAGCAUAAAACCAAGUCAAGGCUUUGAGGGAGUGACCUACAAAAUGCAUAAUGUGAAACAAUGCAAAAGCGAAAGGUGCAAAAUCCCCAUCAAAGAGCUGGAGGCUGACAGAUGCGCCAGUGAUAAUUCCCAUCUUCCAACACAGGAGCACAGCUUCCAUUUUCCAUAACAGAACAACAGCCAGAGCAGCUGGAAGGCAGGGCCGCAUCCCAGACUUCCACCAACAAUGGGAUGAGACUUGACAUCUGGAAUCACAACCACAACAGACCUGAGAGACCCACCAGCUUGAUGACAAGCUUCUUCUUUCAAAGAAAGUUUUAGGCGGUCAUGACCAUGGGAUGCUGGACCAGGAUGGUAAGCUUCAGGAAACAGAAUCUGGAGAAUGCCCAGCUGCUCCCACAGGAAGCAUCAGGGAAGAAGAAGAAGAGGUGUGAAGUCUGCCUUCUGCUCUGCUGGGAUCCCUUUCACAUCUCCUUUGCCUCCAGGCAGUUUUGGUUCCUGGCCAUUUCCAGGUGUGACUCACUCAGGAUGGUAAGCAUCUUCUCUCCUACCCAGAGUAGAGGAUGAAGACCUCAUCUCAGAGGUUGAAGGGAGCUCCAGAGAGAGGUCUCAAACUUCCAGCAUUAACUGCUAAAGAAGCUUCAUGAGCUGCUGGAGAACCUGGGAAAUGACCAAUUAUAGGGACAGAGCUCAAAUACUCUGGGACACUCUAGUAGCUGAGAAAGUUCCAACUCCAGGGUGAUAGAGGACUGCCUGGCAAACCAUCAUCAAAGCAGAAGACCUGAUACUAACAUCACAGGCUAUGGUUUAUUACUGAAGAUCAGUGCUUACACCCUGCCAGAGGUUCAGAAGCAAACUUAUCAUUGUUCUCCCUGGAGAUGUUGGCCCACAUUCUGAAAAGUGUGGUCAGUAGUAGCAACAGAAAGCAAUUGUGCUUGCCAAGCACAAUGUCACUGUCCCCAGCCCUUCCCCCAACACAACCCAGUAGGUGCUUCCUGGCUGCAAACUUGGGAAAGUCACUUGACCUGUCUGAGGUUCCACUUCCUAAUCUGGCCUGGCGAAGAUAAGAAAAACAGUUUAUUUAAAGUGUCUAGCAAAGUGCUUGGACCAAAAUAGGACCUCUGAAAUGGUUAUGGUAGUGCUGUUAAGGUGAUGUUUUAAGUGCUGAUGAGCACAAAGAUGGGUAAGAUAUUCCUUCUGUUAAAAUCUACAGUCUAAUGAGAGAGAACAAGAUGAAUGCACAAUAACUGUCAUUCAGAACAGGAUUAUGAGAAGGUGUGAAUUUCUGUGAAAAAUCAGAACAGGGAGUAAUAUGAUCCCAGGUGAUUGGCAGGGGGUGGGGGUCUGGAUUCAACUGGAGAGGGAGCUGGCAGGGAAGGCUUCCUGGAGGAUGAGAGUUCAACAAGGGGCAGGUGUAGGAUGUGGGUGGCCAAGUGACUGGGCAGAAGGAGCUGCAGAAGUAAGACCCCAAAUCAGGAAGACAAGGGCCUGCUGAGAAACACGAGCUACAAAGUGCAAGUGCAGGAAGAGUUGGGAUGAGAUUAGAAGGGGGUCUGGGGCCAGACUGUGGAAGGCCCAAAUGCCGGGCUAAGGAGUUUGUACUUAAUUCAGUGGUCAACGGGGAGUCAUUGGAGGCUGUUGAGCAGGAGAGUUGCUUUCUUUACAGCUGUGCCAGACUAAAUUAAACCUAAACAGUACUUUAUAGCUGGAAAGGGAAGGCCCAGGAAUAGCUCUUGACUCAGAAACAGGCAUUGGGGAAGGUAAUGAGAAACAGCCGUGACUGAUCAAAGCAGAGAGGUUAAUUAAAUUUGUAAUUAUUGUGAAAGGCCAUUAAAAACCCUAGUUCACUAGAGAUAACUGCUCUAGUGGGGCUUCAAAGACAAACGCUUCUUUUAACCUUGAAUAGGGGGAUGUUUGCUUCUCUGUGGAGGAGAUAUGAUUAAGAUACUUAAUAAAUGGUAGAUAAACAUGC